rnacentral:rRNA from 1 species
AUUGAACGCUGGCGGAAUGCUUUACACAUGCAAGUCGAACGGCAGCACGGAGAGCUUGCUCUCUGGUGGCGAGUGGCGAACGGGUGAGUAAUAUAUCGGAACGUAUCCAAUAAUGGGGGAUAACGAGUCGAAAGAUUCGCUAAUACCGCAUACGCCCUACGGGGGAAAGCAGGGGAUCGUAAGACCUUGCGUUAAUGGAGCGGCCGAUAUCUGAUUAGCUUGUUGGUGAGGUAAAGGCUCACCAAGGCGACGAUCAGUAGCUGGUUUGAGAGAACGACCAGCCACACUGGAACUGAGACACGGUCCAGACUCCUACGGGAGGCAGCAGUGGGGAAUUUUGGACAAUGGGGGCAACCCUGAUCCAGCCAUUCCGCGUGAGUGAAGAAGGCCUUCGGGUUGUAAAGCUCUUUCGCAAGGGAAGAAAACUUAUGAUCGAAUAAAUCAUGAGGUUGACGGUACCUUGAUAAGAAGCACCGGCUAACUACGUGCCAGCAGCCGCGGUAAUACGUAGGGUGCGAGCGUUAAUCGGAAUUACUGGGCGUAAAGCGUGCGCAGGCGGUUUUGUAAGUCGGAUGUGAAAUGCCCCGGGCUCAACCUGGGAACUGCGUUCGAAACUGCAAGGCUAGAGUGUGUCAGAGGGGGGUAGAAUUCCACGUGUAGCAGUGAAAUGCGUAGAGAUGUGGAGGAAUACCAAUGGCGAAGGCAGCCCCCUGGGAUAACAC